GCAGAUGAUAGUGCUUGCGAAGACUCUGUUUUUCAUUCCCGCCGUCUCCAUCCCUGAGAGCGAACAAGUGCAUAAAUUAUUAACCAAAUCCGCCAUGGUGGCAUCGAGGAAUUCGAAUGCGAGAAACAUCCAAUAAUUCACGGAGAAGGAAUGUAUCAAGCCACUGAUUCCAGACAGAGUCGUCGCCAGCGUCAAAAAGACCUUCCAGCAUUAUUAAGAGAUGAAAAAUAGCGUGGCUUGAAUUUGUCGUGUGUGCAUGUCAUCCUUUACAAAUAUCACAUUGUCACACAACAAUCAUGAAGAUAUGAAUAAAAUGGAAAGCCGACGGCAUCGCCAUCCGCGCGACGAAUGUUGCGGAAUAUAUAUUUUGCACGAAGUUAAUUAAUUAAUGCCCCGGGGUUAUUGCGCUGAUC